CGGCGCACGGGUGCGUAACGCGUAUGCAAUCUACCUUUUACAGCGGGAUAGCCCAGAGAAAUUUGGAUUAAUACCUCAUAGUAUAUCGACAUCGCAUGAUGUUGCUAUUAAAGUCACAACGGUAAAAGAUGAGCAUGCGUCCCAUUAGCUAGUUGGUAAGGUAACGGCUUACCAAGGCGACGAUGGGUAGGGGUCCUGAGAGGGAGAUCCCCCACACUGGUACUGAGACACGGACCAGACUCCUACGGGAGGCAGCAGUGAGGAAUAUUGGACAAUGGGCGCAAGCCUGAUCCAGCCAUGCCGCGUGCAGGAUGACGGUCCUAGGAUUGUAAACUGCUUUUGCACAGGAAGAAACACCCCCUCGUGAGGGGACUUGACGGUACUGUGAGAAUAAGGAUCGGCUAACUCCGUGCUAGCAGCCGCGGUAAUACGGAGGAUCCAAGCGUUAUCCGGAAUCAUUGGGUUUAAAGGGUCCGUAGGCGGACCAGUAAGUCAGUGGUGAAAUCUCCCCGCUCAACGGGGAAACGGCCAUUGAUACUGCUGGUCUUGAAUUAUUAGGAAGUAACUAGAAUAUGUAGUGUAGCGGUGAAAUGCUUAGAGAUUACAUGGAAUACCAAUUGCGAAGGCAGGUUACUACUAAUAUAUUGACGCUGAUGGACGAAAGCGUGGGUAGCGAACAGGAUUAGAUACCCUGGUAGUCCACGCCGUAAACGAUGGAUACU
rnacentral:rRNA from 1 species